rnacentral:lncRNA from 1 species
CCGAACUCCUGCCUUGUGCACUGUGCAUGUUAACUAAAACAGCCUGUUGACGGCUUAAAAUAAACCUGCCUUUUUCCAUUUAGCAUUUUAUCAAAUGAAUGUAAUUUUGUUUGCUGAUGAAUUUAGUUCAGCUUCAAGGAGAUUUUUCUCUUCUUCCUGGGGAAGCUGGAGAAUCAGAAUUGUCAUGCCAAAGGAUGAAAAACAAGCCUAGGGAGAAAAGACAGGCUGAUGUGGAUUAUUGCAGCCUGAUUAUAAAACUUGGGAUUCGGUGCCUAUGCCGACUGUGUGUGCUGUCCGGGCAAUGUUUGCAGCAUCUACUACAGAUAAAUAACUUGGAACUCUUGAUUGCCUGAAUGGUUUGAUGUGCUCUUGGGCAGGUGAGACACGGCUGAAGGAACUCAGGCUCUCCGCCCCUGUUUUGGCUGUGUGACUUAUAGUCCAAAGCCAGCAAAGCUGUAAUCUCACGAUUUUCUGUUUCCUGGUGAGAAAGCUAAGGAAAAUCAUCCUUAUAGAAAGAUAAAUGAGAAACUGGUGAAUGACUCCUCUGUAGGCAACCUAGAUUCAUAAACCUUGACAACCAAUCACGAGUUUUUCCCCUAGAAUAGCCCUUUCAGCUUGUAAGGCU